rnacentral:lncRNA from 1 species
AACUGGACUUCUUAAAUAAUUAACUUAGAAUUAGUAUUUAUGAUUCAGUUGGUUUUAGGUUAAAUGGGAUAAAUAGGAUUUUGUGAAUGUAAUAAAGAACGUAUGGAUUUCUUAUGAAAUGAAAAUGAUUUUUUACCCCUCGUGGUAGCGUAUUUUUAAAAAAAAAUAUUUCCGUAUGGGAAACAGUUUUAAAAAGAGUUUCUGGUUUUCAUAGCGUGUUUUUAAAUGAAAAUAUUUUCGUGUGGAAAUCGGUUUGAAAAAGUGUUUCUGGUUUUCAUGAUUUCUAGUAUUUCAAAAUAAGUUUGCGAGUGAAAAACGUUUUAAACUAAUAGACAUGAAAUAAUGAUUAUCUGUGAUGGAAUGAAUGAGAAUGUGUAUGUGAUGUGGUGAUUGUAUGUAUGUACAACGUGGUUGUAUCUUAUACUUAUGCGACGUCGUGCAAAUAUAGGAGAGAUUCUGUCCGUGUGAACAGUGGAUACUAUGUAUUUGUGGCGGAUCUGACAUACUCUGGGGUCGAGGUUUUCAAAAAAAAAAAAAAAAUUUGGGCACUUCCGCAUUGGCUUUUAAAUCCAAAAAGGGGACCCCGGGACGUGACAAUAAAUAAAAAGAAUCUAAGUUGUAGUAAUUACUAAUAUUAUAUACUAACAAUCAAAAUAUAU